GGGUUUAUUUGCAUGUAAAUAAAGAUGUUCUCUGCGAUAUCUCCAAAAAAGUUGAAAUUCCACUUUCCGCCCCAAAAAACAGCCGGGAUAUUUACAAAUUCCAGCGAUUCUCCAGCCAGGGAUUUAUGUACAUCAUGAUAAUCGAGGAAAAGAACCAGUUUCUUUUAAUCUCCGUGUUCACUUCACCACCUGAGAUUAAAAGGGACCACAAGAUCAGCCCGGAGAGGAUGCCUGAGUCAUGCUCCUCAUUCCAGCCAAAAGGGGAAAAUCCAUCUCUGAAGGAAACCAACACUUCUGCUGCAGCUCUGAGCCCAGCUGAGCCACUCUGGGAUGGUUUUCCAAGCUGGAGAAUCCUCCCCAGGAUUGUGAGCACAAUUCCCAGCACAGCAGCAUGAGGAAUUCCAGGGAAGUUUGUUGGUGCAGGCAGGAAUCCCUUUUCCAUUGAGAUUUGCUGGAAUUUCACUGUGCUGGAAUGUCACCAAAGCUGCAGAGCCACCCAAAUUCCCACUGGGG